rnacentral:rRNA from 1 species
GAAUGCUGACAUAAGUAACGAUAAAGCGGGUGAAAAGCCCGCUCGCCGGAAGACCAAGGGUUCCUGUCCAACGUUAAUCGGGGCAGGGUGAGUCGACCCCUAAGGCGAGGCCGAAAGGCGUAGUCGAUGGGAAACAGGUUAAUAUUCCUGUACUUGGUGUUACUGCGAAGGGGGGACGGAGAAGGCUAUGUUAGCCGGGCGACGGUUGUCCCGGUUUAAGCAUGUAGGCUGGUUAUCCAGGCAAAUCCGGAUAAUCAAGGCUGAGGUGUGAUGACGAGGCACUACGGUGCUGAAGUAACAAAUGCCCUGCUUCCAGGAAAAGCCUCUAAGCAUCAGGUAACAUCAAAUCGUACCCCAAACCGACACAGGUGGUCAGGUAGAGAAUACCAAGGCGCUUGAGAGAACUCGGGUGAAGGAACUAGGCAAAAUGGUGCCGUAACUUCGGGAGAAGGCACGCUGGUGUGUAGGUGAAGUCCCUGCGGAUGGAGCUGAGACCAGUCGAAGAUACCAGCUGGCUGCAACUGUUUAUUAAAAACACAGCACUGUGCAAACACGAAAGUGGACGUAUACGGUGUGACGCCUGCCCGGUGCCGGAAGGUUAAUUGAUGGGGUUAUCCGUAAGGAGAAGCUCUUGAUCGAAGCCCCGGUAAACGGCGGCCGUAACUAUAACGGUCCUAAGGUAGCGAAAUUCCUUGUCGGGUAAGUUCCGACCUGCACGAAUGGCGUAAUGAUGGCCAGGCUGUCUCCACCCGAGACUCAGUGAAAUUGAACUCGCUGUGAAGAUGCAGUGUACCCGCGGCAAGACGGAAAGACCCCGUGAACCUUUACUAUAGCUUGACACUGAACAUUGAGCCUUGAUGUGUAGGAUAGGUGGGAGGCUUUGAAGCGUGGACGCCAGUCUGCGUGGAGCCAACCUUGAAAUACCACCCUUUAAUGUUUGAUGUUCUAACGUUGGCCCCUGACCGGGGUUGCGGACAGUGUCUGGUGGGUAGUUUGACUGGGGCGGUCUCCUCCCAAAGCGUAACGGAGGAGCACGAAGGUUAGCUAAUCCUGGUCGGACAUCAGGAGGUUAGUGCAAUGGCAUAAGCUAGCUUGACUGCGAGCGUGACGGCGCGAGCAGGUGCGAAAGCAGGUCAUAGUGAUCCGGUGGUUCUGAAUGGAAGGGCCAUCGCUCAACGGAUAAAAGGUACUCCGGGGAUAACAGGCUGAUACCGCCCAAGAGUUCAUAUCGACGGCGGUGUUUGGCACCUCGAUGUCGGCUCAUCACAUCCUGGGGCUGAAGUAGGUCCCAAGGGUAUGGCUGUUCGCCAUUUAAAGUGGUACGCGAGCUGGGUUUAGAACGUCGUGAGACAGUUCGGUCCCUAUCUGCCGUGGGCGCUGGAGAAUUGAGGGGGGCUGCUCCUAGUACGAGAGGACCGGAGUGGACGCAUCACUGGUGUUCGGGUUGUCAUGCCAAUGGCACUGCCCGGUAGCUAAAUGCGGAAGAGAUAAGUGCUGAAAGCAUCUAAGCACGAAACUUGCCCCGAGAUGAGUUCUCCCUGAGACUU